GAAGCUUCAUGAAGCAAGAAUAGCACCAGCAGGCUGUGGCCCACACUGAGACGGGAUGGGCACCAUUUGUCUCCUUCAUUCCUGAAGCACCCCAGCUUGGGCCAGGCACCCUUGUUGGGACGCUAUCAUUUGCGACAGACUUGUGCAGCCGGGCUUGUGGGACCGCUUGGGCACCAUUUUGACCACUAGAGAAAUGAAGACUGGGGAAGCAAUAGGACACACAGGCAAUGGGGCUAGGCAUUGGUUGUCCCCAUUCAUUCAUGCAGCAAAUGGCCAUUGCGUCCCCUUCCUGUGCUAAACCUGCACAGGUGCUGCAGGACUUCCUGGACAUAAGACCCUGAUUGUUGUCCAAAGAAAGUCCUAUGCCAGACCCAAAGCCCAGGGUAGGGCAGUACACACUGCCCACCAGCAGGCCGUGGCAAAAGUGUUUGUGUACAUCACUGUGGGAGACUGAAGAACGGGCACCAGGGAUCAAUCGGCCACCAUGUAAAG